UGCUCCGUUCUCUUGGUCCUGGUUAACAUUCUAGCAGCUGCAUUCUGAAUGAGCUGCAGCUUUUUUACAGUCUUUUUAGGGAGUCCUGUUAAGAGGCCAUUACAGUAGUCAACCCUACUAGAGAUAAAAGCAUGGAUGAGCUUCUCUUGAUCUUCUUGGGACACCAAGCCUUUGAUUCUGGCUAUAUUUUUUAGAUGAUAGAAUGCUGUUUUGGUGACCGCUUUGAUAUGACUGUUAAAUGUGAGGUCUGAGUCUAUCAGAACACCAAGAUUACGCACUUGAUCGCUGGUUUUAGGACCCGAGAAUCCAGCUCUUUACUAAUACUUGUUCUUUUAUUUUUGUUGCCAAACACAAUAAUCUCAGUUUUAUCUUGGUUUAAUUGUAGACAAUUUUGGUUCAUUCAGAUAUUUAUGUGCUCUAUACAGUGACACAGAGAGUCUAUUGAGCUGUUGUCAUACGGUUCGAGAGCCAUAUAUAUUUGAGUAUCAUCAGCAUAGCUGCGGUAGUUAAUGUUGUUGUUCUGUAAAAUUUGGCCCAGAGGUAGCAUAUAGAGAUUAAACAGAAUCGGUCCGAGAACUGAUCCCUGUGGAACUCCGCAUGUCAUAGCCACCCUAUCAGAUUCAUGAUUAACUCCGGCCAUCUGGAUAAGAUCUGAACCAAUCAAGGACUGUCCCGGAGAGUCCUACCCACUUUUCCAGCCUAUCUAUAAGUGUUCCAUGAUCGACAGUGUCAAAUGCUGCACUGAGAUCUAAUAGAACCAGAACUGUUACUUUAUCAGAAUCAGUAUUCAGCCGUAUAUCAUUUAAAACUUUAAUCAGGGCCGUUUCAGUACUGUGGUGAGGUCGGAAGACAACCUUCUCAAUGAUCUUGGCUAUAAAAGGGAGAUUUGAUACAGGUCUAUAGUUGUUCAUUAUAGAUGCAUCCAGUGUUCUCUUUUUUAAUAGGGGCUUAAUGGCAGCUGUUUUUAGAGACGUUGGGAAAAUGCCUGAUUGCAGAGAGCUAUUAACUAUAUGCUGUAAGUCCAUUGUUAUAGAGUUAAAAAUUGUUUUUAAAAAGUCUGAUGGCAGUGUGUCGAGACAGCAAGUGGAAGCUUUAAGAUGUCGAACUGUUUCUUCUAGGGAUUUUUUGAUCAAUUGUAUUAAAAUGUGACAUAAUAACCAAGUUAUGUCUUGGUGGUCGUGGUGACGGUACAGAGUCCUUUUUAGACUGAGCAGUUUUGAUGGUCCGUCUUAUACUUAUUAUUUUUUCACUAAAGAAACACGCAAAUUCAUUACAUUUCACAGUGGACAUGAGUUCUGAUGGUAUCUGCUUUAUUGGGUUUGUAAGCUUGUCGACCAUGACAAAUAGAGGGCGGGUAUUGUUGAUAUUCUUGUUGAUCAUUCCCGAUAAAUGUUGCUGUCUGGCCCUGCGUAACUCAUUGUUGAAGCUACCAAGGCUUUGUUUAUAGAUGUCAUAGUGAAUUUGAAGUUUAGUUUUCCUCCACUUACGUUCCGCUUUCCUACAUUCUCUUUUCAGGGCGCUUCACCAUCAUGGUGGUUCUCCAUGGUGUUUUCUGUUUGCUCAUAGUGUUCUUUACCUUUACCGGUGCAACACGAUCCAUGACAUUCAAUAUUUUGGCAUUCAAAUUAUCCAGGAGUACAUCAACUGACUCAGCACUUAUUAUUGGAGAGAUAGCUAUGGCUUCCAUAAACUGAGCAUUGGUACUCUCAUUAAUGUACCUUUUCUUAACAGAAACUGAGUUUACUGGAACAUUCUGGGUGAUAAGUGAUUCAAAAAAGACACAGAAAUGAUCAGACAGGGCCAUGUCUUUAACCAUGACAGAGGAAAUAUCGAGACCUUUAGAGAUAACCAGUUCUAAAAUGUGGCCUUGAGUGUGUGUGCGCUCUUUCACAUGUUGAGUGAGAUCAAAAGUGUCAAGUAGUGCAAAAAGUUAUUUGGCAUUAUUGUCUGUACAAUUAUCUAUGUGGAUGUUAAAAUCCCCUGUAAUAAUAAACAAGUUAUAAUCAACUGAUAUAACAGAGAGUAGUUCAGCAAAAUCAUCAAUAAAAUUUGCAGAAUAUCGUGGAGGUCUGUAAAUGGUUAAAAACAAAAUUUUGGGGGUACAGAGGUAUUCAAAAUAAAUACAAUUACCUAGUGGAUUUUCUUAGCACUGGAAUGUAUCUUUGAAUAGGGCAGCCACUCCUCCUCCUUUCCUACCAUUUCGACACGUAUUCAUAUAGCCACAUGUUUCAGGUGCUGUCUCGUUAAGAAUUGCAGCACUACAGUCUUCUGUUAGCCAUGUGUCAGUGAGAAACAUAAAAUCUAGGUUGUAGGAUAUUAUAAUGUCAUUUACCAAGAAUGAUUUGUUGGCGAGAGAUCUGAUAUUAAGUAAAGCCAGCUUAAUAGAUAUAAUAGGGGUUCCUGGACUAGUAGGUUGACGUGUUACAGUUAACAGAUUAUACAAGUUUACUUUAUAGGGUGCAUGCUCACGAUUCCUUCUAUUUCUAAACAAGGUACAUUGGACAAGGCCUUGCUUUUGCAUAUUAAACAAUAACAUGUUACAAAGAACCUUGCAUAUCUCCAGGUAUACAUUUAGAAUCUAUUGAAACAAUACACAGGUAUUCAUGUUUAAUAUAGAAUAUAAAUUAAUCCAUCAAAAAUGAGGGCUGAAAUAAAAAUGAGGAAUAAAUCAGUCUGAGGUGAAAUUCUGAAACCAACAUUUAUUUUUUUCAUUUUAAAAUACAAAAUAUUUAGCAAUAUUAUAUUAUAGAGUAAACCAUUUGACAGCCUUUCAUGCUCUUCGUGUAGCUUCAACAUUUACCAGAAUGUCCUACUAUAUCAUAUCAUAUAUUAUUUCCUAUAGUCACCAGUCACCAGGGUUUCCACACUGCGUCCUGCUAUUCAGUCAGUCUAUUCAUGAGUCUCAGUGGAUGAGCAUGUCAUUUGUUAAAUUUUUGUUUUGAUUUUUUUCUCCUCUUCUCCUCCUCCUCUCCUCCUCCUCUCCUCCUCUCCUCCUCCUCUCCUCCUCUCCUCCUUACCCCAUUAACAUUUGAGCUAGCAAAAGUAGUAACCUGACAAAUUUGAAAAACAGUUGCACAGCAAAUGAAAGAGUGAAAACAGUUAAAGGUCUCUCUCGCACCCAUCAUGCAAUGCACCCAACACACCUUGCUUCAAAUCCCCAUGAUGCUAGUUGAUCAGGUCAAGCUCUCGUCUGGCGUCUCUAUCAUAACUCUCGACCCAAAACAUCUACAAUCAGGCCAAGCUCUCAUCUGGCGUCUCUAUACCCAUCAACUCAAAACAUCUACAGUCAGGCCAAGCUCUAUUUACAUAUUACAACAAAAUAUCUACACACAGACACAAUUGGAAACUAAAAACUUGAUGAAAGUUAUGAAAAACUAGAUCAUGGAAAUCUGGAACGUUCUCUUGAAAAGCUCCCUCCGUCUUCCAGAUAACAUAUGGAACAGUUUAUCUGUCAAGAUGGGGUAGACCACUUCGCACAACAGCUCAACAGGCUGUCAUCAUCGCAGAAGGGGAGAAAUAGAAUACAUCACACACACACACACACACACACACACACACACACACA